AUUGAACGCUGGCGGCAUGCCUUACACAUGCAAGUCGAACGGCAGCACGGGAGCAAUCCUGGUGGCGAGUGGCGAACGGGUGAGUAAAGUAUCGGAACGUGCCCAGUCGUGGGGGAUAACGUAGCGAAAGUUACGCUAAUACCGCAUACGAUCUAUGGAGGAAAGCGGGGGAUCGCAAGACCUCGCGCGAUUGGAGCGGCCGAUAUCAGAUUAGGUAGUGGGUGGGGUAAAGGCUCACCAAGCCGACGAUCUGUAGCUGGUCUGAGAGGACGACCCGCCACACUGGGACUGAGACACGGCCCAGACUCCUACGGGAGGCAGCAGUGGGGAAUUUUGGACAAUGGGCGAAAGCCUGAUCCAGCCAUGCCGCGUGCAGGAUGAAGGCCUUCGGGUUGUAAACUGCUUUUGUACGGAACGAAAAGGUUUGGCCUAAUAAGCUGAGCUCAUGACGGUACCGUAAGAAUAAGCACCGGCUAACUACGUGCCAGCAGCCGCAGUAA
rnacentral:rRNA from 1 species